GACAGAGGUCCCGAGCGUUAGGCGGAAUCACUGGGCUUAAAGCGUGUGUAGGCGGAUGCCUAAGUACCUUGUGAAAUCCCACGGCUCACCCGUGGAACUGCUCGGUAUACUGGGUGUCUUGAGCCACUUAGGGGCUACCGGAACAAAUGGUGGAGCGGUGAAAUGCGUAGAUAUCGUUUGGAACGCCAAUGGUGAAAACAGGUCGCUGGGAGUGCGCUGACGCUGAGACACGAAAGCCAGGGGAGCGAACGGG
rnacentral:rRNA from 1 species